rnacentral:rRNA from 1 species
GACAGAGGUGCCGAGCGUUAGGCGGAAUCACUGGGCUUAAAGCGUGUGUAGGCGGGCCGUUAAGUACCUUGUGAAAUCCCCCGGCUCAACCGGGGAACGGCUGGGUAUACUGGCGGUCUUGGGCCACCUAGGGGCGGACGGAACAAGCGGUGGAGCGGUGAAAUGCGUAGAUAUCGCUUGGAACGCCGACGGCGAAAGCAGUCCGCUGGGGGUGUGCCGACGCUGAGACACGAAAGCCAGGGGAGCGAACGGG